rnacentral:rRNA from 1 species
UACGUAGGUAGCAAGCGUUGUUCGGAAUUACUGGGCGUAAAGGGCGUGUAGGUGGCCAACUAAGUCCGACGUGAAAUCCCCAGGCUUAACCUGGGAACUGCGUCGGAUACUGGAUGGCUUGAAUUCGGGAGAGGGAUGCAGAAUUCCAGGUGUAGCGGUGAAAUGCGUAGAUAUCUGGAGGAACACCGGUGGCGAAGGCGGCAUCCUGGACCGGUAUUGACGCUGAGGCGCGAAAGCCAGGGGAGCAAACGGG